CACGUAUGCAACCUACCUGUAACAGGAGUAUAGCUCGGGGAAACUCGAAUUAACCCUCCAUAAGAUUGUGCUUUGGCAUCAGAGAGCAAUUAAAACUGAGGUGGUUACAGAUGGGCAUGCGUCUGAUUAGUUAGUUGGCGGGGUAACGGCCCACCAAGACGAUGAUCAGUAGGGGAACUGAGAGGUUGAUCCCCACACUGGCACUGAGAUACGGGCCAG
rnacentral:rRNA from 1 species